AAAAGAAAAAAAGAAAAAAAAAUCUGCCUCCACUCUCUUUCACGUGCGACACCCCCCUGAAAUUUUCUCCUUCAUAGUGCCAUAGACAUUCAUGACCUUGCCGCCGCCGCUCGAUCCAUCAGGUGUCGCCUCGGUUUGUGUUGCCGCUCUAACUGUUCCGUUUCCUUCUCCAAUCGAAAGCCCUAGCCGUUACUCGACUCUGUCGCACGCGUUCACCUGGUUGAUGCCUCCAGCCGAGUCGCCCUUCUAUCUCAUAACCACGCCGAAGCCUCCCUCUUUCCCUCACUUCAAGUCGCGCUCUCUUAGCCAGUCGCACGCUUCAGGUCUGUCUGACAUCGAAGUCCUAGCCGUGAGUCUUCAGCCGCCCUACGCCGCGCGUCGGGCUAUCUGCUAGUCGCCACUCGCCACACUAGCGCCAGCCUUCAUCCGAUGCCCAGUGGCCCAGCCUCUUCGCCGCACUAGCGCCAUUCGAGCCAGAUCCGUCGCCGUCGUCCGCGUUCGUCCGGUGCCGCCCCGCCCCGAUCGUCGUCUUGGGUGCCGUCAGAUCUGUUUUGGGUAAGUUUGUGCUAUUUUAAUUGGAUUUCUUGGUUGAUGGUGUUUUAUUUCAAUCUAUUGAUACUUUAAAAUCGAGUUUUGGAGAAGCGUUAGAGCUAAAAGUAUGUUGUCAAGAGGAUUUGGGAGUGGUUUCGACAAGCUUUUGGAAUGUUGGAAUUGAAGGUUCAAAGUGGCUGUCCAUGAGAGUUAAGGUUGAAUUUGUGACUAGAGUUGUCGGGUUGUAUUGAUUUUGUAGCAUGGGGUGAUGUUCGAACCAACACACUUUGAGCCUGAUUCAAGAUUCAUCUAAGCUAGGAGGAAGAUUAUUUUGCUUGUCGUUUAGACAUAAUUUUGAGUAAGAGUAGUGAUGCGCUGGCGAAUGACAAGCAGAAUCCAUGAUCGAGCCACUGGGACCAGUUUUUAUGCUUCCGCUCAUAAGACUUAGAUUUCCUUCACGUUGCUAAAUUUUUAGUUUUGAUGUUUGAAACUUAUUAUUAAGAAUUGUUUUUCAUACUUAUU